rnacentral:rRNA from 1 species
CCUACGGGAGGCAGCAGUGAGGAAUAUUUGUCAAUGGCCGAAAGUCUGAACCUGCCAAGCCGCGUGGAGGACUAAAGUUCUAAGGAUUGUAAACUUCUGUUAUGUAGGAACAAAUUCAUGCACGAGUGCCACACUGGGAGUACCCGAUGAAUAAUGUUCGGCUAACUCCGUGCCUGCAGCCGCGGUAAUACGGGGGAUGCGAGCGUUAUCCGGAUUUAUUGGGUGUAAAGGGCGCGUAGGGGGAUUGUUAAGUCAGUGGUGAAAGGUCGGGGCCCAACCGCCGGAGAGCAGUUGAAACUGGCAGUCUUGAGAAGUGGAGAGGUAGGCGGAAUGCGUGGUGUAGCGGUGAAAUGCUUAGAUA